GCGUGAGGAACCUGCCUCAAAGAGGGGGACAACAGUUGGAAACGACUGCUAAUACCGCAUAAGCCCACGGUGCCGCAUGGCACAGAGGGAAAAGGAGCAAUCCGCUUUGAGAUGGCCUCGCGUCCGAUUAGCUAGUUGGUGAGGUAACGGCCCACCAAGGCGACGAUCGGUAGCCGGACUGAGAGGUUGAACGGCCACAUUGGGACUGAGACACGGCCCAGACUCCUACGGGAGGCAGCAGUGGGGAAUAUUGCACAAUGGGGGAAACCCUGAUGCAGCGACGCCGCGUGGAGGAAGAAGGUCUUCGGAUUGUAAACUCCUGUUGUUGAGGAAGAUAAUGACGGUACUC
rnacentral:rRNA from 1 species